GGUUUAGUGAGAUCCUCGGAUUGGACCCGGCGCGGAGGGCAACCUUCNGGGUCGGUGAUCCGAAAAGACGAUCAAACUUGAUCAUCUAGAGGAAGUAAAAGUCGUAACAAGGUUUCCGUAGGUGAACCUGCGGA
rnacentral:rRNA from 1 species